AAUGCUGUCCUCUUAGAAAUCCAAACCAAAGUUGCUGCAGCCCGUGGAGAACUCAAAAGGAAAAGCGUCAGAAUAAACGACCUUCCUGCCCAAAUUGACAUUCCACACAGAGCUCAGCCCAGUCUGGGGGUUACUCCGAGACCCCGAGUUUUUGUGGCUGCCUGGGGAUUGAGCUGGAAGCACCGGGGCAUCCCCAGCACCUCUCCCUCCAACGCUCCUCUUUCCACAGGGAAAUCAUUCUCUAUUUACAGUCAAACCACCCCUGGGACAUCUUCAGCGAUUGGAAAAGUCACAUCGAUAAAGAAUUACUGCAUUUUUAGCAGUUUUGUAACUAAAACAGGGCUGAAAGGAACAUUGCUUCAGCACAUCCCAACACCGACAGCAAACCCCGGGUUUUAUUUCCUACAUUCUUCUGCUUUCACACGCUUCCUAAAACUCAGGGAAAUAAAACUUCUUUUUUUUCCCCACUUCUGGUGUGAUGAAAAAUGUAUUUUUUGGACAGAAUUCUUAAAUUUAAAACUACUGGGAUGCACCUGCUGCUCUUCUGUAUCUUCUGUCGAUCAUCUUAACACCACCACAAGGAGAAAGCUGCAGCUCUUGGUCACAAAGGGACUGAGACAUCAAACCCAACACUCUCCUCCCCUUCAUAUCAGGAGAGAGGCAGGGAGAGUCAGGGAAAUAAAACUUCUUUUUUUUCCCCACUUCUGGUGUGAUGAAAAAUGUAUUUUUUGGACAGAAUUCUUAAAUUUAAAACUACUGGGAUGCACCUGCUGCUCUUCUGUAUCUUCUGUCGAGCAUCUUAACACCACCACAAGGAGAAAGCUGCAGCUCUUGGUCACAAAGGGACUGAGACAUCAAACCCAACACUCUCCUCCCCUUCAUAUCAGGAGAGAGGCAGGGAGAGGUGAAAGCAGCGCCCGAAGCCAGGACCUGGCAGCAGGAGGAUUCGAAAGCCACCGGGCCGUGAGAAGAUGCAGUUUAGCAAAGGUGAGGAGGAGGAGGAGGAGGGAGGGAAGAACCACUUGGGUGCCCUGGCUGGACCGAGCAAACACGACCACGGUGGGGAAUAAGGGAGAAAAUAGACACAGUCCUUCAAUUUGGCAAAAAACCCCAGCCCAAGCCACACACUCAAUUAGCUGA
rnacentral:lncRNA from 1 species